AGCCUCAGCUGAGGACAGAGGAGUGAGGGACUCCCCACUCACCCUCAACGUUCUGCUGCCCUUAUCUUUCAUGCAGUUUUUCUUUUUAUUAUUUUAUCUGUCCUUAUGUGCCUGCUGCCAACACUCUCCUCCGCCCCCAUUCUUCGACUAGAGUCCUUUUUGGCGGGUAGGGGAGGGAGGGGAAGGACCACGGCUAAUUCUUACUUAUGAAUUCCUUCCUCAGAGGUUAGGCGGUGCUUUGCGCACGUGAGUACACAAAGAGGAAUAUCGUCUUGGCGACCAGAUCCCAGAGGGCACUGCCCACGUGCCAGAAGAACCACCAGGAAGACGGACAAAUGGUCCCCGAUGAGAUUCACAGAAACCCACUACUCACUUCCGGUUCUGCUGUUGUCUCUGGUGCAAGAGUCGUCGAUGCUGGGGAUGGAGGUGAGUUGUGUCUGGCCUGAACAUCUGGUGAUGAGAUCUGCAGGAACGGGAAAAAGAGUGAAGAGUGCGGAACUGUCAUCAAGGCCAGGGAGAAGUAAUUAAAUGAGCGGUUUUGAGUUAC